GACCGCGUAGCUCAGUUGGCAGAGCAUUGGACUGGUGUUGUUCCAAAGGUCGUAGGUUCGAUUCCCACCGUGGCCU
rnacentral:tRNA from 1 species